CCAUCUAUUGAUUUCGAUUCUAAUACCUUUUGCUACAAUUGCGUUUUCAGAAGAGGUUUGAUUAAAAUAUACAUGGUCUAAAGGAGCUACAAGCCUUCCAAUUAAGUUCUUUUUCGAAGAUGAUCAACAUUGGAGGCUUAUAUGAUUAUUAAUUUUAGAGCUUGAGGGAUUAGUCAAGGUACGCGCAAGCUGACCCAGACACCUAUAUUAAACUAAAAAAAAAUUUCUUUUCCAGAUAAGGCUGAUUAGAAUAUAAAAGGCAUUUUUCACAAGAUGGGUUUGGACCAGAGACCUCGCUGGAAUAUCUCAGCAGCGUCGGCUCCACUUGCAGGCCUAGCUUGCUUCCGGUGGCUGGAUGCAGUAUGAACUCGUAGACAAGUGUAGUUAACAUGUCACCUAUUUCAUUCAUUGUAUUCUUUGAAGGAAAGGCAAUUAGGGGGAGAGGGCGUGCCUUGUUAAUUAGAUUUGGCUUCUGUCAUAAUUAUCUACUAAUGACUAUCCCUUAACGCGUUAAUAUCUAUCUAAUUCCAAGCAAAAAAAACAACAUGGGUCAUGGGAAUCUGUCCUUUGCUCGUAAAGGAAAUUAAGAACAUAUAUACACAGAGCCAAGCCAUCAAAGUCAAGCAAGUUGAGUGACACAGAGACCAGGUCAUUUCAUAGCCUUAUUGUCACGCACUAUGGACCUCUUGAGGGAAGAAUUUGAAUGAUGGUAGCUGCGCAGAGGACUAGAAGAGCAUUUAUUCGUUGGAUUGCACCCGGCAGCUAGCCCUAUGUGCACGCAGCAUUGCCCAGAUCUUUCCCUCUCCCACUCCUAUAUAAACUUCUCUUCACUGUUUUCCCUUCCCACUUAGCUUCACAAAUCACAAACCUCUCUGCAUUUUGAUUUCUCUCUCAAAUUCUCUUCCUUUCAAGCUUCAAAAUGAGGGGAUCUCUCCUUCUUAAUUUCUGCUCGGUCUGUGUCGCAGCCGUUGUGCCUCUCCUCUUUGGCUAUGAACUCAAUAUCUGAAGGAGUGUCGUGGAGAUUUCAACGGACUUUCUCUGGUUUCUCUCUAAGUGUUCGAAACCAAGAUCUUGUGAAAUAGAAGGAAAAUAUGUGGAGACUUGAGGCUUAAAGAUUGAAACUUUUAUUGAUUAUGCUAAGUAUUUGGUUACUGAGAAACGAAGAAUGAACUGGGUUUUUGUUGACUUUUGAUUCUCUGAAGGGAAAUUGAAGAAAUCAAUUAACUAGUAAUUCACCGUACAUGUUUCCUCACCCCUUCACCUUAUUUUGUUUUUGGCUACUUUCAUGUAGGCUGUGUCUUCCUCGCAAGUAGAGAUGAAUGCAAUCUGAUUUCUCCUUUGCAAUACGAACGGUUGAGUUUCUGUUUGUGCUAGCCUGCGAAUAAUGGAAAAUUCCUUGAAGAAAGAUUUACCUUGGUUACUGAUAUUAUUUUGAACCGUCAUGUCAAUUAUUGGUUAUAUAUCGACUGAAAAUGAAAGCUAUUUCACUAUUCUGUGCACACAAUGCUUGAAACAUUAAUCAUGGUUUUUGAAAGUAUUGGAGCAUUGUACACAGAAUAGGUGAAAUAACUUUCAUUUUCAUUCGAUACGCAACUAAAAUUGUAAAUAUAGUUCAGUCUCAUCUUGGAAGCCAAGCUAAUGGAGACUGCUGCAAUUCCUAUGUGACCUGUUCCACUCUAUGAAAAACGGACUGCUUCCAUUUGGGUCUUUCCCAAUUGACAACAUACCUGGUGCAGGAACUUCUGAGUUUUUCCAGGAAAUAAGCCGCUUCACUUGCCCAGUGUACUUGUUAAUUCCAUGCUUUCCACCAGGUAGCAUGUAUCAGUUGGAUUGUCAAAACUCUGCCAAUAAAUGGCAGAUGGAUUUGAGCCAUCUCUUACGACAAUGUAUCUGCUGUACUAGUAUUCGGCAUUGAAGAUGCAAGAGAGCUGUUGACCAAACUGUCUCAGCUGUUAAAGAUUUAUAUACACGCAUUUCCACUUUAAAAAAAUAGGUAAGUGACAUGUUUAAUUUUAAUUGAUUAGUUGAAUGUCAUUAUGAUAAAACUAAUUGAAUAUCAAGCUGCUACAGUGCAUAAAGCAAUCCUGUGCUUUUUUUAUGCCAGCUUGGCUGUAAAUGAAUAGGAAAUUACUUUUUGAAGUGCAUAGAUUUGUACUAUGAAUGCGUUUUUCUUCCUGUUUAUGGAUGCACAGAUACAAGGGGCUUGUUAUGUAGGAUUGUGUGGAGAAAGAAGUCCAGUCCAUUUGUUGAAAAUCAGAUAGAAGGAAGGUAUGGUGUUAUACUGGAAGAGAAUUAAGCAUUUAUAUCAAUUAAAAGCAAUCACAAGAGGCCUUCAAUUGAAUUGCAGAGAUUGCCUUCUUUUUCUGUUACGCAUACAACACAUCAAGUUCGCUUGCAUUGCCAGUAUCUUGGAAUUCCUACAAGAGAGGAUGUGAAACAUGAGGGUGUAUGCUAGUGGGAGGGAAGACCAUACGACAGCCAUGAGCUUCAAGCAGAGAGCUUAUCUCUUGAUCAUCCUGCUACUGGUCAGCCGCUAAUGGUUCGAGCACCUCUGCCUCUGUGGGUCACAUAGAUGGCCUAGCCAUUGUAAACUUGCUUUCACAGUGUUGUAUGCCAUCUUCACACUUUAGCUCCAACAUCUUGUUCUGCCUUCAUAGGGCGGCAUAGUUAACAUCCGGAGCUCUCAUUGUAGAAUUAGCAAGCAUAUCAGGACCUUCUGGCCUGCAGUAUUAACUCUGUUACAUGUAACUGAAUUGUGUUUGGUUGUAAUAAAGUGUAGGAACUAGGGAGGGUCACAAGAAAUCAAAGGUUUUGAACAUUUGUUUGAACCCGCUUGUGGUUUCUUAAUGAAGUAUUAGUCUUAAAUGCACUUGAUUACUAUGUAAUUGUAGUGGAAUGGUAUAAUUAGUAGUAGGUUUGGUAGCAGUUGAAUUCCAGAGUGUAGAUUAUGAUUCAAAGCUGUGAAUGAGAGAGCAUGCCGUGGCAAGUUUAUCUUGAUAA